UCCUUCCCUCUCCAUCACGCGCUCUGUUGGCCCCUCUGAGCAGAGUUUGCACCCAUCUGCUCCUCUCACCCUUCCAGGCUGAAAUAGGAGGUGUUGCUUUGUGGUGUUCCUACCACAGAAGACACAAGCCAGGAGCAACAAGGAAAAAUAUGGAGGAGUCUGCACGUAAAGCUAACACCCGGACCUGCUAAUUCAGGCUCCACGUGCGUGAUUAAUAAUGCAGAAGAAGAAAGCUUGAGAGUUACUGUGCUGCGUGGGUUCUGGGAGGCAGCAAUCAUUGCCCGUCACUGACGAUGUGGGCUAACAAGUUCCAGAAAUGGUCCAAACAGGUUAGUCUGCUGGUCUCUGGGGUCCUCCCUCCCCCGUGGCAGCUGAACUCUGCAAUUUUUGAUUCCCCCAUCUCUUAUCCCCUUUUGUUAUCUAUGGCGCUGGUGUUCUAUAGCUGGGAUGGAUGUGUAACAUGGGCUAUUCAAGAAGACUCCAUUGCCCAUUGCUUUUUUCAGCCAGAGGUGGAAAAUGAAGCCCAGUCUAUUCCAUUGUCCCUCUGCAAACCAGGCUCUUAAUUGGCAUGCUGGUGUCAGUAUUUAAAGAGGGUCCCCAUGGAAGCUUCGAUGAGAGGCCAUCAUGGGGGCAGAAGGGACUUCACCUCUGGUGUAAUCUUGCAUGGGAAUUUUCUGUUCUAUUGCUGUUUCUGGCUUGCAGAAAACAUUUGCUGCUGUUAGUGAGGGGACAGGUAAAGCUGCCUCUGGAUUAUCAGGUUUAGAGCAUGUGUCCUCCCCCCCCCCCCCGCAACCUCCUCGGCCCCCCUAACCUCCUUCCCAUCCUACUUCUUCUGGUUUCCAUCUUGCUAAGUGCCACGAUGUCAGCUUGUUGAUCGCAUUUAUGCUCCCCUUCCUGUGAACACCGGAGAGAGAAGUGGCCGUCUCAUCCUCAAGCCAUCCGAAGUAGCAACUGUUUAUUGAGCAACUCAGUGUUAACAAUGAAGUAGUUCGAUGCAGCAAACAUUGAUCGAGCCUCUGACCAUAGCUAUCGAGGAUCCAGAGUCAUUAACAGUGAUCACUCUGUGACUUUUGUGAUGAAGAAAUCAUAGCCACCCUUGUAGUUAGCACAGUGGUAUGUAGUUUAGCCUACUGGUGGUGUCCAGAAAGUCUGGUACAGAUGAGUGUCUAAUACAUGAGACCAGAAUAUCCCUCCUUGAAAUAUGGUUGGUCCUCCAUAUACAUUAUAUCCUGGGUCUCAGCCAAUCUUGCAAAUAUUGUGGGGAAGGAAGAGGGGAUUGAAUCUG
rnacentral:lncRNA from 1 species